CAUUCCCACUAUUGUGAUGCCAUCUACCAUAAGACCUUCAUUAAGCUGAUGUCAGGGCUGUGCCCUUGAACCUCCAGAACUGGAAACUAAAUCAACUUCUUUUCAUGAUAAGGUUAUCCAACCUUGAGUAUUUCGUUAUAAUAAUAGAAAAUGGACUAAUAUGGUGUCCGAUUCUUUCAGGAAUCUGUCACCAUUGCAAAGCUGCUCUCCUAGGUCCUACUUUGUAUUUCUGGACUUUCUAUAGCCUUGGCAGAAAGAAGCCUGAUCACAAAUGUGUGGCUCUGUAACUCUUUGGACGUGGCGUUGGAACUGGAAUUCUACCGAAGCUGAAUCUUGACUUCCUUUUUGGGGUGAGUUUAUUUCAGCAGCCCCCAAGUUCCAGGACUGUGCAAUUCCAUCCUUGGUACUGGUCUGAACUAAGCCACUGCUUGACCUGAAGAGGAUCCAGAUGUGUAGCUGUAUAGAUGGACAGCAUGGGAAGAAGAAUGGUGGAAGAGAGAAGCUUGCUGUGGGGGUCAAAAGACCAUCAACUACUUGGGAUUGGUGAGAAUGGCUAGCAAAGAGGACAGGCUCCCUUCUUUAUACGGAAGAGUUAUGCUUGGAUCUGUCUCUGCUUCUGCCCAAGUGUCUUGGUCAGUGACUUAGCAAUCCAGCAAUGACAUUUAGCAAAAAGGUGACAUGGAGCUGCUUCUGAGUUCUGCAGUUUGGGCUAAGAUGGAGCCCAUUAGUUACUUCUCCAUAAAGGAUAUUUCUAAAAUUGUUGAAACAUUACAGUAGACAAGUCAAUGUCAGAUAAAAGAAUGAACUUCAGGGAACUUUGAAGAUGGAUUUAAAUUUUUAAAUAUGCACAUUUAUUUUACUGUAUAACAAAUUAUAUUCUCUAAAGAACUGCAACGAGAAACUGAAAAAUUAAUGAAACUUUUUUUUUCUUGCCUGAGGAUUCCCUAGAGAGGAAUUAUUAUGGAUUUGGACAAUAGCACAAAUUAUUCAUACUUUCUUGAUUUAAUGGCCAUUGUGUCUAGCUGUGACUUCAUAGUUCAUGUGCUUUCUUUACAAAGGGCAUUAAAUUAAUAGUAAAGUAAAAAUAUUACAAAGUCAUUUCCUUUGAAGAAAAAUUUCCAUUUUGACAGUAUUUUCAGCAAAUAGCUUGCUGUAUUGCUGUAAGUAUCGAUGGAAAUAAACUUACCAUCUUUUGCCAGA